rnacentral:tRNA from 1 species
UGGGGAGUGGUGUAAUGGCAGCACAGGUCGCUUUGGACGACCCGGUUCAGGUUCGAAUCCUGGCUCCCCAG